rnacentral:tRNA from 1 species
AAGGGAGACCUAAUUCGGGUAUAAGACGAAAAAAGAGUAGUCGAAACCAAGAAUCAAUCCCAAAUGGUCGGAACGAGGUAUGUGGCUUUCAAACUAGGUUCUGGGUUCACACAAGACCUGAAUCAGGAACAAGGGCUAUUAGCUCAGGUGGUUAGAGCGCACCCCUGAUAAGGGUGAGGUCCCUGGUUCGAGUCCAGGAUGGCCCACCUGCACAGGUGGCAAAAACAAAGAAGCGAGGAAUCAGCACCUUAUCUUAUCUAUAUAUAAGAGAGAAUGCUGGCUCUGAGUAAAGAGUCCAGAGGAACCUUGAAAACUGCAUAGAGCUAGGUGAAAAAGCCAAAAAAGAAGACCGCAA